AACCCCUCUCUCUCUCUAUCACUUCACUUUACAUACAUACACAUACCUAAAAGAACAAAAACUACAGAUGAAAUAGACAUAUCUAUAGCCUAUAUAAAAAGUGUAUAACCCUGGUACAACGCUCUUGCCUGCUUGCUUUCCUAACGUUUUUCUUGCUUGCUUUCUAACGUUCUACAAGAGACAAAUGGAACUGCUUGGUUGUAUACCAGAAGAAUUCCACUCCUUCCUUACCGAAGAAGCUUUGCAUCCUCAUUGAAAUUUCCAACAUCGGUGCGUCAUAUCGGUUCUGUUUUUCAAAGCCAAUUUCACGUGCUGCAAGAUUCAAACACUGCAAUUUUCAUGAUGAUGGCUGGAUUUUGUCUUUUAUGUCAUGUGCUUCUGCAACAAACAUUGAAUUUCUCACAAUAUAUAUAUAUAUCUUCUUGAUGGAAUUGGUAUUACACUGUUCUUUACAUCACUGUUGGCAUAGUUGCAGCCGUAACGCUGUUCAAAUUGUUAAUCCAAAGUUCUGGUUCCACCAUUGCAAAUCCUGGUUUUGCCUAUAAAAAGGGCAGCUGGGCGAGAGCAGAAGGGAGGCGAGCUGAGAGGGCCAAGAAGAGAGAGAGAAGAAAUUUUAGAGGGUAUUUAUUUUAUAGUGGUUAUUAUAGUAGUAUGAGUAGUUAAUUUUUAUAUCUUAGGGUUAGGAUGAAAUUCUGAUCAAGUAAUUGGGGUAGUGUGUAUUUAGUUUUGUAAAUUAUUAAUUGAUUAGGGUACUAUUGUAUAACCCAUAUUUUUAUGCAAAUAUUGUUUUAUCAAAUUAUGUGUUCAUUUAGUCGUGAAUACAUGUUAUACAAA